rnacentral:rRNA from 1 species
UACGUAGGGCGCAAGCGUUGUCCGGAAUUAUUGGGCGUAAAGAGCUCGUAGGCGGUCUGUCGCGUCCGUUGUGAAAACUCGAGGCUCAACCUCGGGCGUGCAGUGGAUACGGGCAGACUAGAGUGCGGUAGGGGAGACUGGAAUUCCUGGUGUAGCGGUGGAAUGCGCAGAUAUCAGGAGGAACACCGAUGGCGAAGGCAGGUCUCUGGGCCGCAACUGACGCUGAGGAGCGAAAGCAUGGGGAGCGAACAGG